UUCAAAGGGAGCAAAUGAAAUUCGUCCAAACCAACAUUAGAUUUGUCUAUUACAAUCUUUACAGUACACCACAACCCACAUAUGCCUACUACACCACAACCCACAUAUGCCUACUACUGCCUUCUAUUACAAUAGAUAUGCUACUCUUUGUUGAUACGCUUCAUAUAUAUCUUCACACUUGGCUUUGUACUUUACCUGUACAAAAUAUAAGAAUAAGAUGUGAACUAACACUGCAGGUAUUUAAAUAACAGAAUUUUAAAAAAAAGUAUGAACUAACACUACAGGUAUUUAAAUAACAGAAUUUACAAAGAUCUUCAUUGUUGUAGAGACCAUCUGCUGCUGCUGCCGCGAGAGGAAACGAAAAGCUAAGUGAGAACCAACCCUGAGAAGAAGCAUUUUACAGUAAUUUAUUCGACUAAUUAACAAGAGAUGGCUAAUAAUCAGCAGGUUUAACAUUACUGAAUAGCUUGCAUUGCUAUACUAACAGCCAACAGUAAUUCUAGUGAAAACUCAACUUGGAACAUCUGGCAAUCCAAAGGUCAGCACCCAACAACGACAAACAGAACACAAAGGUCUAAAACUGUAUCCCCUAAAACAAAUCUGGAACUCAGUUGUGCUAAUAAUCAUUUGCUAGCAGGAUACCAAAAAAUGCAAAUAAUUUAGGAUGCUAAGCCAAUUGCAGAGACAAAAAAACAAGUAUUUCAGAGUAACAUAUCACCCUCCUACUUGCAAAAUAGUUAAUUAGUGAGAUAUGGGGUCUAUGAACUUGCAAAGCUGCAAUAGUAAAACAUUAUCAAACUAUGAUUAGCCAGGUCAUACUGACCAAAAAAUAAAUCAAGCAUUUUAUAGUAAUUUAUUCCACUAAUAUCCCUUCCUCAAAUGGUUAAUUGAUCAAAGAAGUUGUGCGUAUGAUGAGAGCAAAUUUUAUUAUGGUUUUUUUGUUAACACAGUAUACAUAUGUAAGCGCUCAUAUCUUGAGUUUGUUGCGUGGCAGGCAAGUUGAACACUGGAUACUGGGAUAGAUCACUGUAAUAGAAAAGCAGCAGCUGAUCAAGGCUUAGAUUCGCAAUUCCUUCAAAUUAUGUAUGUAUGCAGUGUUCUGUUUUCAGAAUUUCAUCAGAGGGACAGGCAGACAUUUUGGGUCCUUUUUGUGACAUGAUCAAACUGCUAGACCUAAAGAAAGGAGUAAAUUAUUUCUUAGUUGCAAUGCAUGGAUGAUGGGUUUAACACCUCAAAAAACUAUUACUACUAUCCUGACAAAAGAGUGUAACAAAAAACUAUCAGCUUACCUACUCACCGGUGUGACAAAGUCCUGCACCGAGUUGUACAAGCACAACGCGCACUCCGCCACCGUGAUGUUCCACGGGGGGCACUGGGCAACCGCACGCACUGUGUUGUCCGCCUGCAGGGCGGCGCUCGCCGCCGCCAGCAUGCGCGUCGUGCCGUUCGCCUGGAGGGUGGCGUUCGCCGCGGCGAGGGGCACCAGGGACCACGCCACGCCGGCCAGCGUCUCCACGUCGUAGAACCUGGGGUAAACGUAAAUCUAAAGGUCAUAGCUCCCAAAAUAGAUGUUCUAGUUACUCCUUUGAUGGAGAAAUUAAGAGCUCCCAAAAAACAAAAGACGGAGAGAGAAAUAAAAAAAAUACACAACAAUGCUACUGUAUCCAUACAGAAACCUUCCUAUGGCUAUGCUGACCUAAAAUCGAUAUAAGUCGCAUAGACCAUACUCCACUUAACCGAAGCAUACGCCUACAUAGACCAUAGUCCAUACCCCGGGCACUACGGCCUUAGUAGCAGUCAUGUAACUGAAUUUGAAACACAUUAUAUCUAAUACUGCCAGAAGACCUGGCACAAACUUGCACCCUCAUGAACUAAUACCGACCUCUCUACGCACACAUAGAACUAGAAGCAAACAUAUAUGCUAGCAGACCAUGUAUAAGAUAAUAAACAGAGAAGAAAUACACAAGGGUGGACAAACAUAUAUGCUAGCAGACCAUUAAUCAAUUAAUUCAUAGAUCAAUUCAAAGAUACCAACUAUUUUCCAUAGCAACUAGGCAUCGACUAAUCAGAACACAUAAUAAUAUGCACCAUAUUUUACAAGGAGUCCUCUUCCUUUGUAUCAUUGACUCCUGUUUUGUGCGGUCUAAGGACACCGUGUCCUAGCUACUCAACGUUCAGAACUAUACAAUGCCAUGCAGUUUUCUUCCAUCAUAUUUAGCUCUACCAAUUAGAGAAAAUCUUUUUAAAUGCUUUAAGGAUCCUACUCAAAAGCCAUAAGAGUGUGCACACCACUGAGUUCAUUAAUUACUGGACUCUUACUAGUUUGCAAUGUUGGAUCUAAAUUAAGAAAUGAGUGUCCAUAAAUUGAGCUCCGUUGUUCCAGGCUGACUGACACUUAAUAGCGGGCGAAAUUUUCUCUAGGAACUGACAUCACCCGAUGGACAUAAGAAAAAUCAUCAAUUCAAACAGUACCACACUAAAAACCACUGAAUCUGGACCAAAUCGAGGUAACCGACUGAUCCAGGACUUGGAACAUAGAACGAGCCGGAUGACCUUGGUGAUGACGUGGUAGGAGAUGUAGGACUGGAUGCCCAUGCCCAUCUUGACGGGAUCCGUGACGCAGAUCGACAGAAACGGCGCCCUGGCCACCGCCCCAGGCGACCGCGGGCUCUGCGAUAGGCUCCUCUCCUGCGAGAGAGCGCAUGGAUAGAUGGAUAGAUUCAGUACCAAAAAAAAUACCGCGGAACACUAAAAGCUCCCAGGCUCAAUCAAAAGCACUUGGUCAACAGCCCCAGCUCAACAGAGGACUUGCAAAUUACUCUAUAAUGAACAAAUUCGCUCAGCUUCAGAGUUUACAACUGAUUGUGUCCCAAAUGAACGGGUCACAAGAUGACAUGAAUUAUUAUGAAAUUUAGGCUAUCAAUUGAAUAUUAUGUUCACACAGGCUCAAAAUAAUAUGUUCACACAUGCUCAAAACUUAGGCUAUCAAUCCAGUUCACAAAGGGAUGAUAACUAUCUACAUAAAUAUAAUAUAAGCUAGUUCUGCCGGCUACUGAAUAGGGAGUGCCAUAGCGAAAAAUGAAAAGCCUCUUAUAAAUCUGAAAGUGAACUGGAUUGCUGUCGUUUGAUUAUUUCCUAUUGUUAAUGCCCAACCCUGCUGCAGGGGCUGCAAGUUGCGGACGGAGGGGUGCAGACUACCCCACAACACCUGAACAUGUACGUUUUUCCAGCCAUAGAACAUUGGGAAUCAUAAACAAAGAAUCACCAAUUAACAAAGCAUUAGAGUAUCAUAUUUCUCUUAACUGAACAAUAGGAUCACUUCUAUAACUAUAGUCUUUAGGACCAAAUUUAAAAUAAACAUUCUGGCUUAGAGAAAAUCCAUUGCAUCUAUUGUGUGAUCACCUUCAUGGUCUAGCAUCUUCAAGCUUUCACGAACCUCAAUGGAGAUACCCAUAACUCCUCCCUGAAACAGAUGAAACACAUAAGUUUUGCUAAACUGGGACAUGGUAUUAACCUUUUUUGCUUGAUAUUCUUCAAGAUACAGCAAAUCCAAAACACGUGAAUUGUAUGGUAUUAUUCCCUCUUAUAUAAAUAUGUCAUGAGUACUGCACAUAGUUGGACAUCUACAAUACAAUAUAUUGCUGAUUAGAUUUUUUUGCAUUAAUCUACCGCGAAGCAACCCGACGAGGCCGCCACGAUCCAGCUAGCCGCGGCGCGGAAGGGCAGCAGCCGGAUGAUCCAGCAAGCCCUCGCCGCGAGUUGGAGCUUCUCCCAUGUCUUGCCCAGGUUAAUGAUGUAGAUGCCUAGGAACCACAAACAAGGGUACGAGAUGGGGGGAGGGAGGGGGCUCACGAUUAUGCGGUCGCGGUCGGCGUGGCUGGAGACGACCGCGGGCGCGGAGGGAGAGGAAGUGGCCGUGCGGUCCUUGGCGAGGAGGAUGCGGAGGCCGGAGUUGGGCGGCGGCGGCGGCGAGGGCUUCGCCAUGGCGAGGGAGGCGACUCGCUGGUAGGGUUCAGGGACAGGUUGAGAUCCCGUCGGUGCAGCGAGGGCCUCCUGCCUGCCGCAUCCCUCGGCCGUCGUCGCCUCGGUCAUCGCGGCCGGCGGAGGCAUUGCCGCCGCGCCACGCCGAGGAGGAGGAGGAAGGGGCACUGCGGCGCACCGAGGAGGUGGAGGGGUACUGGGCGGCGACGGCGGAGGGGUGGAGCAGCGGAGGAAGGGCGCGACGAGCGGAGGUGCAGAGGAUGGGUGGGACGGUGGGUAGGAGGUGGCGGCUGCGAUCUGGAAGGGAGGAGGAGGGGUGCUCGAUCUGGAUG
rnacentral:lncRNA from 1 species